CCAUGAAGCUGGAUUCGCUAGUAAUCGCGCAUCAGCCACGGCGCGGUGAAUACGUUCCCGGGCCUUGUACACACCGCCCGUCAAGCCAUGGAAGCCGGGAGUGCCUGAAGUGCGUGACCGCAAGGAGCGUCCUAAGGCAAUACCGGUGACUGGGGCUAAGUCGUAACAAGGUAGC
rnacentral:rRNA from 1 species